UGGUUCAAUUAUAGUUCAAUACUUAACUAAAAUACUCUGAACCAAAACUCAAGGCACUUAGAUAGAAUUUAAUAAAGAUUUUUCUGAAACACUAGAUUGAAUUCAUUAGAACAACAUAAGAUAUACUCAAAUGCUUUGAGCUCAUCAAAAUUAAUUAUGGAUUUACUCAAUCACUCCACACUUAAGAGGUCUAUAUAUACCUACUAAUCUCUUGCUUUGAUUAGGGCUCAAAAAACCUUGACCCGGUUCAUAAGACAGCCUC
rnacentral:lncRNA from 1 species